AGUGAACGCUGGCGGUAGGCCUAACACAUGCAAGUCGAACGGCAGCACAGUAAGAGCUUGCUCUUACGGGUGGCGAGUGGCGGACAGGUGAGGAAUACAUCGGAAUCUACUUUUUCGAGGGGGAUAACGUAGGGAAACUUACGCUAAUACCGCAUACGACCUACGGGUGAAAGCAGGGGAUCUUCGGACCUUGCGCGAUUGAAUGAGCCGAUGUCGGAUUAGCUAGUUGGCGGGGUAAAGGCCCACCAAGGCGACGAUCCGUAGCUGGUCUGAGAGGAUGAUCAGCCACACUGGAACUGAGACACGGUCCAGACUCCUACGGGAGGCAGCAGUGGGGAAUAUUGGACAAUGGGCGCAAGCCUGAUCCAGCCAUACCGCGUGGGUGAAGAAGGCCUUCGGGUUGUAAAGCCCUUUUGUUGGGAAAGAAAAGCAGCAGGUUAAUACCCCGCUGUUCUGACGGUACCCAAAGAAUAAGCACCGGCUAACUUCGUG
rnacentral:rRNA from 1 species